rnacentral:rRNA from 1 species
GAUUGAACGCUGGCGGCAUGCCUUACACAUGCAAGUCGAACGGCAGCACGGGAGCAAUCCUGGUGGCGAGUGGCGAACGGGUGAGUAAUGUAUCGGAACGUACCUUUCAGUGGGGGAUAACGUAGCGAAAGUUACGCUAAUACCGCAUAUUCUGUGCGCAGGAAAGCAGGGGAUCGCAAGACCUUGCGCUGAUUGAGCGGCCGAUAUCAGAUUAGCUAGUUGGUGAGGUAAAGGCUCACCAAGGCGACGAUCUGUAGCGGGUCUGAGAGGAUGAUCCGCCACACUGGAACUGAGACACGGUCCAGACUCCUACGGGAGGCAGCAGUGGGGAAUUUUGGACAAUGGGGGCAACCCUGAUCCAGCCAUGCCGCGUGAGUGAAGAAGGCCUUCGGGUUGUAAAGCUCUUUCGGCCGGGAAGAAAUCGCAUGGGUUAAUACCCUGUGCGGAUGACGGUACCGGCAUAAGAAGCACCGGCUAACUACGUGCCAGCAGCCGCGGUAAUACGUAGGGUGCGAGCGUUAAUCGGAAUUACUGGGCGUAAAGCGUGCGCAGGCGGUUUUGUAAGACAGGCGUGAAAUCCCCGGGCUCAACCUGGGAACUGCGCUUGUGACUGCAAGGCUAGAGUAUGGCAGAGGGGAGUGGAAUUCCACGUGUAGCAGUGAAAUGCGUAGAGAUGUGGAGGAACACCAAUGGCGAAGGCAGCCCCCUGGGCCAAUACUGACGCUCAUGCACGAAAGCGUGGGUAGCAAACAGGAUUAGAUACCCUGGUAGUCCACGCCCUAAACGAUGUCAACUAGGUGUUGGGUGGGUAAAACCAUUUAGUACCGGAGCUAACGCGUGAAGUUGACCGCCUGGGGAGUACGGCCGCAAGGUUAAAACUCAAAGGAAUUGACGGGGACCCGCACAAGCGGUGGAUGAUGUGGAUUAAUUCGAUGCAACGCGAAAAACCUUACCUACCCUUGACAUGUCCAGGAGCCUGAAGAGAUUUGGGUGUGCCCGAAAGGGAACUGGAACACAGGUGCUGCAUGGCUGUCGUCAGCUCGUGUCGUGAGAUGUUGGGUUAAGUCCCGCAACGAGCGCAACCCUUGUCGUUAAUUGCCAUCAUUCAGUUGGGCACUUUAACGAGACUGCCGGUGACAAACCGGAGGAAGGUGGGGAUGACGUCAAGUCCUCGUGGCCCUUAUGGGUAGGGCUUCACACGUCAUACAAUGGUCGGUACAAAGGGUCGCCAACCCGCGAGGGGGAGCCAAUCCCAGAAAGCCGAUCGUAGUCCGGAUCGUAGGCUGCAACUCGCCUGCGUGAAGUCGGAAUCGCUAGUAAUCGUGGAUCAGCAUGUCACGGUGAAUACGUUCCCGGGUC